rnacentral:rRNA from 1 species
UGAGGAAUAUUGGGCAAUGCCCGAAAGGGUGACCCAGCAACGCCGCGUGGAGGAUGAAGGCCGUAAGGUUGUAAACUCCUGUUAGAGGGGAAGAAAAACUCCGAUAGAAUCGGAGACUGACUGUACCCUCAGAGGAAGCCCCGGCUAACUACGUGCCAGCAGCCGCGGUAAUACGUAGGGGGCAAGCGUUGUCCGGAUUCACUGGGUGUAAAGGGCGCGUAGGCGGGCUAGCAAGUCAGAGGUGAAAUCCAACAGCUUAACUGUUGAACUGCCUUUGAAACUGUUAGUCUUGGGUACGGAAGAGAGAGACGGAAUUCCAGGUGUAGCGGUGAAAUGCGUAGAUAUCUGGAGGAACACCAGUCGCGAAGGCGGUCUCUUGGUCCGUUACUGACGCUCAGGCGCGAAAGCGUGGGUAGCAAACAGGAUUAGAUACCCUGGUAGUCCACGCUGUAAACGAUGAAUACUAGGUGUUGGGUCGAAAGGCUCAGUGCCGCAGCUAACGCAUU